GAUGAACGCUGGCGGCGUGCCUAAUACAUGCAAGUCGAGCGAACAGACGAGGAGCUUGCUCCUCUGACGUUAGCGGCGGACGGGUGAGUAACACGUGGAUAACCUACCUAUAAGACUGGGAUAACUUCGGGAAACCGGAGCUAAUACCGGAUAACAUGUUGAACCGAAUGGUUCAACAGUGAAAGACGGUCUUGCUGUCACUUAUAGAUGGAUCCGCGCCGCAUUAGCUAGUUGGUAAGGUAACGGCUUACCAAGGCAACGAUGCGUAGCCGACCUGAGAGGGUGAUCGGCCACACUGGAACUGAGACACGGCCCAGACUCCUACGGGAGGCAGCAGUAGGGAAUCUUCCGCAAUGGGCGAAAGCCUGACGGAGCAACGCCGCGUGAGUGAAGAAGGUCUUCGGAUCUUAAAACUCUGUUAUUAGGGAAGAACAAAUGUGUAAGUAACUAUGCACGUCUUGACGGUACCUAAUCAGAAAGCCACGGCUAACUACGUG
rnacentral:rRNA from 1 species